rnacentral:rRNA from 1 species
GUGGCGGACGGGUGAGUAAUGUCUGGGAAACUGCCUGAUGGAGGGGGAUAACUACUGGAAACGGUGGCUAAUACCGCAUAACGUCGCAAGACCAAAGAGGGGGACCUUCGGGCCUCUUGCCAUCAGAUGUGCCCAGAUGGGAUUAUCUUGUUGGUGAGGUAACGGCUCACCAAGGCGACGAUCCCUAUCUGGUCUGAGAGGAUGACCAGCCACACUGGAACUGAAACACGGCCCACACUCCUACGGGAGGC